rnacentral:piRNA from 1 species
UGACAGAAGACCUGUGGAAUUAUGAAGUU